rnacentral:rRNA from 1 species
GGAAUGAACUUAGCGGAUUAGUGGCGAACGGGUGAGUAACACGUGAGUAACCUGCUUACACAAGGGGAUAGCCUUUGGAAACGAAGAAUAAUACCCUAUAACGUCAAAUUAUCGCAUGAUAGAAUGACCAAAGAUUUAUCGGUGUAAGAUGGACUCGCGUCUGAUUAGCUAGUUCGGUGGGGUAACAGCCUACCAAGGCAACGAUCAGUAGCCGGCUUGAGAGAGUGUACGGCCACAUUGGGACUGAGACACGGCCCAGACUCCUACGGGAGGCAGCAGUGGGGAAUUUUGCACAAUGGGGGCAACCCUGAUGCAGCGACGCCGCGUGAUUUAGAAGGCCUUCGGGUUGUAAAAAUCUUUUGUAUGGGAAGAAAAUGACAGUACCAUACGAAUAAGGACCGGCUAAUUACGUGCCAGCAGCCGCGGUAAUACGUAAGGUCCGAGCGUUGUCCGGAAUCAUUGGGCGUAAAGGGUACGUAGGCGGAUAAGCAAGUUAGAAGUGAAAUCCUAUAGCUCAACUAUAGUAAGCUUUUAAAACUGCUCAUCUUGAGGUAUGGAAGGGAAAGUGGAAUUCCUAGUGUAGCGGUGAAAUGCGCAGAUAUUAGGAGGAAUACCGGUGGCGAAGGCGACUUUCUGGCCAUAAACUGACGCUGAGGUACGAAAGCGUGGGUAGCAAACAGGAUUAGAUACCCUGGUAGUCCACGCCGUAAACGAUGAGUGUUAGGUGUCUGGAAUAAUCUGGGUGCCGCAGCUAACGCAAUAAACACUCCGCCUGGGGAGUACGCACGCAAGU